UGCGCAGGCGGGCAUUUAAGUCAGUGGUGAAAUACUGCCGCUUAACGGUAGAACUGCCAUUGAUACUGUAUGUCUUGAGUAUGGUUGAGGUAGGCGGAAUGUGUAGUGUAGCGGUGAAAUGCAUAGAUAUUACACAGAACUCCGAUUGCGAAGGCAGCUUACUAAGCCAUAACUGACGCUGAGGCACGAAAGCGUGGGGAGCGAACAGGAUUAGAUACCCUGGUAGUCC
rnacentral:rRNA from 1 species